rnacentral:rRNA from 1 species
UGGGGAAUCUUGCGCAAUGGGCGAAAGCCUGACGCAGCGACGCCGCGUGAGUGAUGAAGGCCUUCGGGUUGUAAAGCUCUGUGGGGAGAGACGAAUAAGUAGGGGUUAAUACCCCCUGCGAUGACGGUAUCUCCUUAGCAAGCACCGGCUAACUCUGUGCCAGCAGCCGCGGUAAGACAGAGGGUGCAAACGUUGUUCGGAAUUACUGGGCGUAAAGCGUGUGUAGGCGGCUUUGCAAGUCGGAUGUGAAAGCCCCGGGCUCAACCCGGGAAGUGCACUCGAUACUGCAGAGCUUGAGUGUCGGAGAGGUUGGUGGAAUUCUCGGUGUAGAGGUGAAAUUCGUAGAUAUCGAGAGGAACACCGGCGGCGAAGGCGGCCAACUGGACGAACACUGACGCUGAGACACGAAAGCGUGGGGAGCAAACAG